rnacentral:rRNA from 1 species
GAUGAACGCUGGCGGCGUGCCUAAUACAUGCAAGUCGAGCGAACAGACGGGGAUCUUGCUCCUCUGACGUUAGCGACGGACGGGUGAGUAACACGUGGAUAACCUACCUAUAAGACUGGGAUAACUUCGGGAACCCGGAGCUAAUACCGGAUAAUAUAUUGAACCGCAUGGUUCAAUAGUUAAAGACGGUUUUGCUGUCACUUAUAGAUGGAUCCGCGCCGCAUUAGCUAGUUGGUAAGGUAACGGCUUACCAAGGCGACGAUGCGUAGCCGACCUGAGAGGGUGAUCGGCCACACUGGAACUGAGACACGGUCCAGACUCCUACGGGAGGCAGCAGUGGGGAAUCUUCCACAAUGGGCGAAAGCCUGACGGAGCAACGCCGCGUGAGUGAUGAAGGUCUUCGGAUCGUAAAACUCUGUUAUUAGGGAAGAACAAAUGUGUAAGUAACUAUGCACGUCUUGACGGUACCUAAUCAGAAAGCCACGGCUAACUACGUG